rnacentral:rRNA from 1 species
AUGGCUACAGGAGCGGAGACCGUCCGGCCACGCGCGGUCGCCGGCGGCGUGGAGGUGCCGGUGCUCCUGGCCGCGGACAAGGACCGGCCGGUGGACCCGGUGAUGUGGGGCGACGAGGAGCGGAUGAAGAGGGAGCUCAUGGCGUGGGCCAAGGCCGUCGCGUCCAUGGCGCUCAACGUCUCGUCGGCGCCGCCGCCUUCCAUGGCACACGGGACCAAGUGAAGAAACCUUGUGAAAAGGGGUAUAUAUGAGUCAGAUAUAUCUUUUGUUACUCUACAAUCACUCAUUGCUAGUGAAGGGUAUGGGCAGAGUGAUUACAUGUACUAUGUGAAGGAGGAGGAAAUUGGAUCUGAAAGAGUAAAGUAUUUAGGUAAUGAAGCUAGUGUUCAUGAAAUGUUGGAGUUUUUUAAUCAUGUCAAUGUUGUGAAGAUAAGGGUUGUGAGAGAUGUUGAACCUGCAAUAAGUACACAGGCUAUUCAGAAUUACAUGAACACUCAAGAGAGUUGCUGUGUGCAAAAGGUUGUGGAGCAAUCUGAGCUUCAGAAUGAGAUAGAUGAUAGAAAGGCUCAGCUUGAGAGGAGCAGGAUUCAAAGAGAGGCAGAUUUGAACCACUUUGAAGGAGACACUGAAGUGUCUGAAUUUUGUUCUGAUGAUUCAGUUCAUUCAGAUGGGAGUGCUGAAGAUGUUCAACAAAUGGAAAUAGAGUGUGCCUCUGAAGAGGAAACAACAUUGCAAAGUACUGCUAUUGUUAAACAUGUGAAGAACCCUGAGCCAACUAGCAGAUGUCACAAUGAGGUAGAGAAAAAACGUUUUGAAGAUUGGUUUCCUGAAGCAGAUGAGUUUUGUUUUGCUGGUGCUGCAGGCAUAAGUGAUGAGGAAGAAGAAGAUGAAGUUGAACUACCAUACAUCAUGAAGAAGCCAAAGACAAAGAGUAGUAAGAAAAAGAUGAAGGAAAGGGUAUAUUUUGACCCUUCAAUUCCCAAUUCACAUUUACUCUUGUGCAAGAGCUUGUGUUUUGAUUCUGUUUACCAGUUCAGAGAAGCAUUAAGAGAUUUUCAUAUAAGGACUUUGAGGUCUUUUCACUACCACAGGAACACUCCAACAAGAAUUAUUGUUUGGUGUUCACAGAGAGAGCAUGGAUGUGAAUUUUACAUGUAUGCCUCCAGGAUAGCUCAUGAAAGAACAUUUUGCAUUAAGAAGUGUAACAUGGAGCACACUUGUCCAGCAUCAGCAGAGAACACAAAAGUUACUACUAAGUGGCUUUCCAAAGCAGUUGAGCCUUCUCUUAGAGCAGAUCCUAGAGCACCUGUGGAUUCACUUAUUAAAAACAGCAAAGUCAAGUUUUCAGUUGAUGUAUCAAAGAGUGUGGCCUAUAGGGCAAGGAGGAAGGCUAUUAAGGUUGUACAAGGUAACCAGAAGGAGCAGUACUAUAGACUGAGGGACUACCUACAAGCAGUUCUUGACACAAACCCUGGUAGCAGUGGAAGCAAAUUUGGAACCUACACCAUUAUUUCUGACAGGCAAAAGGGUCUUCUUAAGGCUAUAAAUGAGGUGUUCCCUGAUUCCCCUCAGAGAUACUGCCUCAGGCACAUCUAUGCAAAUUUUCAGUCAGCUGGUUUCAGAGGAGCAGAACUAAAAAAGCUAGUAGAUAAGGCUAGCUACUCAUUCACCAAAUAUGGCCAUGAAUUAGCAAUGGCAAAGCUUAAAGCAGAGUGUGAGGAUGCCUGGAAGUGGCUUACAAAAAUUCCAAAGGAGACUUGGUGUAGUUCUUCAAUGGAUUACAAUUGCAAAACUGAUCUUGUUGUGAACAACCUUAGUGAGGUUUUCAACAAAAUGAUCCUUGAUGUUAGGGCCAAAGCAAUUAGAACUAUGUUUGAAGGAAUAAGGACUAAGCAGAUGAUCAAAAGGCAGAAGACCAGGGAAAAGCAGAGAACAGCAGGUGGAUGA